ensembl:misc_RNA 7SK 7SK RNA
AGAUGUGAGGAUGAUCUGGCUGUGACAUGUCACCCUUUUGAUUGCCAGGGCUGAUUCUACUGAUCUGGCUGGCUAGGUGGGUAUCCCCUUCCUCCCUCACUGCUCCAUUCGUGUUCCUCCCGAAGGUUUAUGCUUGGUCAAAGAGGAUAGCCUUCCUAGAAGAUGGACUGGUCUUGAGUUGAGGGUAUAGGAAUAGCUGCACUCCCCUGCUAGAAUCUCCAAACACGCUCUCAAGGUCCAAGUCUUUGAAAAACGGCUACAUUUUUGCAAGUUAGUGGUCCUCAAGUUUCCAUCAAAAUCACUUGGAGAGCUU